GAAUCAAAAUGUCCAGUUACUGGACGGAGCGUGGAGUCACACACGGUCGUCCAUCAUAUUCACUGCUGCAACAGACGGUGCUCUUUACCUGUGGGAUAUUCUCGCCCAGCGGAUCACUCCUACGUUAUGCUCCCAGGUCAGCGAAUCUCCGCUUUUAAGUUUGAGCACCCAGGAACACGGAAAAAUCAUGGCAGUUGGCAGCAAAGACGGACGGUUGUCCGUCAUUCAAAUAAGCGACAAUUUGUCGACAGUAACCAAAAACGAUAAAGUAGCGCUCACCUCGUUACUGGAACGAGAAAUCCGAAGAGAAAAGAAUUUGGAACAGCGGACUAAAGACAGCAAGAGUAAACAAGGACCCAAAACUUCCAUUUUCCACCUUGCGAUUGCAACAGUGACCCAAGCGGCCAAGUUGCUACGCAAGGCUCAUUGGGCGUUCAGAAACCUCCGUCUCCCA